GGAAUUCGGACCCUUUGUUGGAGGAGAAUAUCCGAAAGUUGAUAGAGGAGGUGGCUCAGCUGAGGGCAGAGAUCAGCAGUGCAAAGAAGCUUUCCCGAGAUAACCAGGCAGCGUCCAAGACGGCAUCUGACGUGUCUAUCUCAGACUGGGCCCUGAAAAGCUCUGGUGCCACCAUUGACAGUGCGGAGAACUUCCAAGACCUACACCUGCAAAGAGAAUUGGGGCUACAGGGUUCUGCAGUUCUUUCCUGCCAACAACCCUUCUGAUACUAUUUUGCAGCCAGAUGUUUCUCCGGGAAACUGCUGGCCUUUACAAGGGCAUCAGGGCCAGGUGGUCAUCAGGUUUCCAGCACGAGUCCAUCUGACUGCCGUCAGCGUGCAGCACAUCUACAAAGAAGCUUCUCCGCCUGGGACCGUCACCAGCGCCCCCAGAGACGUCGCUGUCUUCGGAGUGGAUGCGGACGGAGAAGAGGAAACUCUGCUUGGGACGUUCACGUACAACGUGGAGAAAGAGGCCAUUCAGACCUUCCCUCUGAAGAAGGCACCGUUUCCCAGAGCCUUUUCAUAUAUCAAGCUUCUUGUGGAGAGCAACUGGGGAAACCCAGCGUACACCUGUAUUUACCGAGUGGAGGUUCACGGGAUGAUGGAACAACCGGAAAGCCUCAACUGAAACCAGAGAAGGACAAAAAUAAAAAAGAAGAAAAGCAGAGGGGAAUAAAGAAAUGAUGUGGCAGUU